GUCUAUGGCCAUGCCACCCUGAACGUGCCCGAUCCCGCCUGAUCUCAGAAGCUAAGCAAAGUCGGGCCUGGUUAUUACUUGGGUGGGAGACCACCUAGGAAGACCAGGUGCUGUAGGUG
rnacentral:rRNA from 1 species